rnacentral:rRNA from 1 species
AUUGAACGCUGGCGGCAGGCCUAACACAUGCAAGUCGAGCGGGGGAGGUUGCUUCGGUAACUGACCUAGCGGCGGACGGGUGAGUAAUGCUUAGGAAUCUGCCUAUUAGUGGGGGACAACAUUCCGAAAGGGAUGCUAAUACCGCAUACGCCCUACGGGGGAAAGCAGGGGAUCUUCGGACCUUGCGCUAAUAGAUGAGCCUAAGUCGGAUUAGCUAGUUGGUGGGGUAAAGGCCUACCAAGGCGACGAUCUGUAGCGGGUCUGAGAGGAUGAUCCGCCACACUGGGAAUGAGACACGGCCCAGACGCCUACGGGAGGCAGCAGUGGGGAAUAUUGGACAAUGGGCGGAAGCCUGAUCCAGCCAUGCCGCGUGUGUGAAGAAGGCCUUUUGGUUGUAAAGCACUUUAAGCGAGGAGGAGGCUCUUAAGGUUAAUACCCUUGAUGAGUGGACGUUACUCGCAGAAUAAGCACCGGCUAACUCUGUGCCAGCCGCCGCGGUAAAAC